GACGUAGGGGGCCAGCGUUGUUCGGAAUUACUGGGGGGAAAGGGUUCGUAGGCGGUGCGGCAAGUCGGGAGUGAAAUCUCUGGGCUUAACCCAGAGGCUGCUUCCGAAACUGCUGUGCUUGAGUGUGGGAGAGGCGCGUGGAAUUGCAGGUGUAGCGGUGAAAUGCGUAGAUAUCUGCAGGAACACCCGUGGCGAAAGCGGCGCGCUGGACCACUACUGACGCUGAGGAACGAAAGCUAGGGGAGCAAACAGG
rnacentral:rRNA from 1 species